CAACUACUCCCUCUAUCCCAAAUUUCUUUUCUUAGAUUUGUCUAGAUACGGAUGUAUCUAAUACUAAAAUGUGACUUGAUACAUCCGUAUCUAGACAAAUCUAAGACAAGAAUUUUGGGACGGAGGGAGUACUUU
rnacentral:pre_miRNA from 1 species